rnacentral:rRNA from 1 species
CCUACGGGAGGCAGCAGUGAGGAAUAUUGGUCAAUGGUCGGGAGACUGAACCAGCCAAGCCGCGUGAGGGAUGAAGGUACAGAGGAUUGUAAACCUCUUUUGUCAGGGAACAAAGGCGGGGACGUGUCCCCGGAUGAGUGUACCCGAAGAAAAAGCAUCGGCUAACUCCGUGCCAGCAGCCGCGGUAAUACGGAGGAUGCGAGCGUUAUCCGGAUUUAUUGGGUUUAAAGGGUGCGCAGGCGGUGGGUUAAGUCAGCGGUCAAAGCCCGGGGCUCAACCCCGGCCCGCCGUUGAAACUGGCAGUCUCGAGUUGGCGAGAAGUAUGCGGAAUGCGCGGUGUAGCGGUGAAAUGCAUAGAUAUCGCGCAGAACUCCGAUUGCGAAGGCAGCAUGCCGGCUCCACACUGACGCUGAGGCACGAAAGCGUGGGUAUCGAACAGGAUUAGAUACCCCAGUAGUC